rnacentral:lncRNA from 1 species
GGGGUUGACUGCUUAUUAUUUUCUUUACUUCAGAGGAGAAUUAGAUAAUGCAUAUUUUCUGUACAUUGACAGGAGAGUCUUUGACAUACAGUAUUAAGUGGGGCAGUUGCUUUAGAAAGUGAUUUUAUAAAUUAAUCAGUUAAGUCAAACCAAAUUCACUUGUAAAUAUCAGUUAAAACCUUUUUGCCUAGGUCCUGGGUCUGAGAGGAUAGAAUUCUGGAACUCUGCAAAAAUCUGGCCCACUAGAAGGGUGAUUACCGAAGUCACACCAUCUGCUGCAUCGUCCUCUCUUCGCCACCCCCAGCAAAGUGCUUUUCUUGGAGGACAGCCCAGAAGGACUUUUCUUCCCUGCCAACCACCUCUGCCCCUACAUCCCCAUUAAGGCACAGAGUGUUGGUGCCACCGUGACCUAACCAGGACCAGAAGAAGGAAGAAGGAUCCAGCAUUAGUCAUUUGCACAGAGAAGGAUUGGGUAAAGUUUGAGCGGGAAAUGGUAUUUUAACUGCUUGGGUGAAC